rnacentral:rRNA from 1 species
UACGAAGGGGGCUAGCGUUGCUCGGAAUCACUGGGCGUAAAGCGCACGUAGGCGGAUCUUUAAGUCAGGGGUGAAAUCCCAAGGCUCAACCUUGAAACUGCCUUUGAUACUGGGGAUCUCGAGUCCGGAAGAGGUGAGUGGAACUGCGAGUGUAGAGGUGAAAUUCGUAGAUAUUCGCAAGAACACCAGUGGCGAAGGCGGCUCACUGGCCCGGUACUGACGCUGAGGUGCGAAAGCGUGGGGAGCAAACAGG